UUUUGGAGAUGGGUUGCCGAAAGGAUGGAAGAUUUUGUUGGGUUUGAAGAGGAAGGAUGGGAUUGUGUACUUGAAUUGCCGGAGAUAUGUUAGGUGGUUGAUAAAUCGACCGAAGGAAGAACAACCCAUGAUUUUUUUUGAAACAGAUAAUAUGGUUUAGAUUUAAGAUGAACGAUUAGCUGAAAGGAGUAGAGCAUGAAAUAGGAGGAGAGAUGCAUAAACAGUCGUACAUGUUAUGGGCUCUGUGAUGAUAUUGGAGGCGUGAUGAUCGAUGAGAAUGAUAGCGUGCGUAGAGAAAAUGAUGGUGCAGAGCUCUAUGGAGCCAGUAGUACAGGAACUCGACAGGGCCUGUGCGCAUCAGAGCGAUAACGGUUGCACCACUGUUCUUCCAUAGAGGCAGAUGAUCAGCGCCAGGAAAUAUGGAGUAGCCCAGUGAAAAAGUAUCGAUCAGUGCAUUUUUCCUACGUAUCUUGCCCCCAGAUAGUUUGAGAAAACAGCAGUAAGGCGUGCGCACCAUGUUCGGCAACUCCGACAUAAAACAAGGAGCCUGUCAAUGGAGCCUAUCAAUGGAGCCUGCCAAUGGACAACGAAGUCUCAAACCUGUCAACCACAGACAUGUGACUGAUAUGCAAGUGAAGAUUUGAUGUGCAAAUCCUUGGAACAUUAGAGGGGUUAAUUGCAAGUGUUACAUGUCCAGCUCAGCAGCUCCUCAGCAGUAUUAACUGCUUCCAUUUUCUGUUUUGUUUGUUAGAUUGGUGCACGUGCACGAACAGAGUGCGUUUCCUUUUCUUUUGAGAGGAGGUUUGGAUUUGUAUAAAAGGAGAUCGAGCUGUAGAAAUCUGAAUGUUUUAGGAAAUGAAAUGAAUUGAUUUCUUCUUCUCAA